GGGUUGUGAGGUUAAGCGACUAAGCGUACACGGUGGAUGCCCUGGCAGUCAGAGGCGAUGAAGGACGUGCUAAUCUGCGAUAAGCGUCGGUAAGGUGAUAUGAACCGUUAUAACCGGCGAUUUCCGAAUGGGGAAACCCAGUGUGUUUCGACACACUAUCAUUAACUGAAUCCAUAGGUUAAUGAGGCGAACCGGGGGAACUGAAACAUCUAAGUACCCCGAGGAAAAGAAAUCAACCGAGAUUCCCCCAGUAGCGGCGAGCGAACGGGGAGCAGCCCAGAGCCUGAAUCAGUGUGUGUGUUAGUGGAAGCGUCUGGAAAGGCGCGCGAUACAGGGUGACAGCCCCGUACACAAAAAUGCACAUGCUGUGAGCUCGAUGAGUAGGGCGGGACACGUGGUAUCCUGUCUGAAUAUGGGGGGACCAUCCUCCAAGGCUAAAUACUCCUGACUGACCGAUAGUGAACCAGUACCGUGAGGGAAAGGCGAAAAGAACCCCGGCGAGGGGAGUGAAAAAGAACCUGAAACCGUGUACGUACAAGCAGUGGGAGCACGCUUAGGCGUGUGACUGCGUACCUUUUGUAUAAUGGGUCAGCGACUUAUAUUCUGUAGCAAGGUUAACCGAAUAGGGGAGCCGAAGGGAAACCGAGUCUUAACUGGGCGUUAAGUUGCAGGGUAUAGACCCGAAACCCGGUGAUCUAGCCAUGGGCAGGUUGAAGGUUGGGUAACACUAACUGGAGGACCGAACCGACUAAUGUUGAAAAAUUAGCGGAUGACUUGUGGCUGGGGGUGAAAGGCCAAUCAAACCGGGAGAUAGCUGGUUCUCCCCGAAAGCUAUUUAGGUAGCGCCUCGUGAAUUCAUCUCCGGGGGUAGAGCACUGUUUCGGCAAGGGGGUCAUCCCGACUUACCAACCCGAUGCAAACUGCGAAUACCGGAGAAUGUUAUCACGGGAGACACACGGCGGGUGCUAACGUCCGUCGUGAAGAGGGAAACAACCCAGACCGCCAGCUAAGGUCCCAAAGUCAUGGUUAAGUGGGAAACGAUGUGGGAAGGCCCAGACAGCCAGGAUGUUGGCUUAGAAGCAGCCAUCAUUUAAAGAAAGCGUAAUAGCUCACUGGUCGAGUCGGCCUGCGCGGAAGAUGUAACGGGGCUAAACCAUGCACCGAAGCUGCGGCAGCGACACUAUGUGUUGUUGGGUAGGGGAGCGUUCUGUAAGCCUGUGAAGGUGUGCUGUGAGGCAUGCUGGAGGUAUCAGAAGUGCGAAUGCUGACAUAAGUAACGAUAAAGCGGGUGAAAAGCCCGCUCGCCGGAAGACCAAGGGUUCCUGUCCAACGUUAAUCGGGGCAGGGUGAGUCGACCCCUAAGGCGAGGCCGAAAGGCGUAGUCGAUGGGAAACAGGUUAAUAUUCCUGUACUUGGUGUUACUGCGAAGGGGGGACGGAGAAGGCUAUGUUGGCCGGGCGACGGUUGUCCCGGUUUAAGCGUGUAGGCUGGUUUUCCAGGCAAAUCCGGAAAAUCAAGGCUGAGGCGUGAUGACGAGGCACUACGGUGCUGAAGCAACAAAUGCCCUGCUUCCAGGAAAAGCCUCUAAGCAUCAGGUAACAUCAAAUCGUACCCCAAACCGACACAGGUGGUCAGGUAGAGAAUACCAAGGCGCUUGAGAGAACUCGGGUGAAGGAACUAGGCAAAAUGGUGCCGUAACUUCGGGAGAAGGCACGCUGAUAUGUAGGUGAAGCGACUUGCUCGUGGAGCUGAAAUCAGUCGAAGAUACCAGCUGGCUGCAACUGUUUAUUAAAAACACAGCACUGUGCAAACACGAAAGUGGACGUAUACGGUGUGACGCCUGCCCGGUGCCGGAAGGUUAAUUGAUGGGGUCAGCGCAAGCGAAGCUCUUGAUCGAAGCCCCGGUAAACGGCGGCCGUAACUAUAACGGUCCUAAGGUAGCGAAAUUCCUUGUCGGGUAAGUUCCGACCUGCACGAAUGGCGUAAUGAUGGCCAGGCUGUCUCCACCCGAGACUCAGUGAAAUUGAACUCGCUGUGAAGAUGCAGUGUACCCGCGGCAAGACGGAAAGACCCCGUGAACCUUUACUAUAGCUUGACACUGAACAUUGAGCCUUGAUGUGUAGGAUAGGUGGGAGGCUUUGAAGUGUGGACGCCAGUCUGCAUGGAGCCGACCUUGAAAUACCACCCUUUAAUGUUUGAUGUUCUAACGUUGACCCGUAAUCCGGGUUGCGGACAGUGUCUGGUGGGUAGUUUGACUGGGGCGGUCUCCUCCUAAAGAGUAACGGAGGAGCACGAAGGUUGGCUAAUCCUGGUCGGACAUCAGGAGGUUAGUGCAAUGGCAUAAGCCAGCUUGACUGCGAGCGUGACGGCGCGAGCAGGUGCGAAAGCAGGUCAUAGUGAUCCGGUGGUUCUGAAUGGAAGGGCCAUCGCUCAACGGAUAAAAGGUACUCCGGGGAUAACAGGCUGAUACCGCCCAAGAGUUCAUAUCGACGGCGGUGUUUGGCACCUCGAUGUCGGCUCAUCACAUCCUGGGGCUGAAGUAGGUCCCAAGGGUAUGGCUGUUCGCCAUUUAAAGUGGUACGCGAGCUGGGUUUAGAACGUCGUGAGACAGUUCGGUCCCUAUCUGCCGUGGGCGCUGGAGAACUGAGGGGGGCUGCUCCUAGUACGAGAGGACCGGAGUGGACGCAUCACUGGUGUUCGGGUUGUCAUGCCAAUGGCACUGCCCGGUAGCUAAAUGCGGAAGAGAUAAGUGCUGAAAGCAUCUAAGCACGAAACUUGCCCCGAGAUGAGUUCUCCCUGACUCCUUGAGAGUCCUGAAGGAACGUUGAAGACGACGACGUUGAUAGGCCGGGUGUGUAAGCGCAGCGAUGCGUUGAGCUAACCGGUACUAAUGAACCGUGAGGCUUAACCUUACAACGCCGAAG
rnacentral:rRNA from 1 species